GUUUGAUCCUGGCUCAGGAUGAACGCUAGCUACAGGCUUAACACAUGCAAGUCGAGGGGCAGCAUGGUCUUAGCUUGCUAAGGCCGAUGGCGACCGGCGCACGGGUGAGUAACACGUAUCCAACCUGCCGUCUACUCUUGGACAGCCUUCUGAAAGGAAGAUUAAUACAAGAUGGCAUCAUGAGUCCGCAUGUUCACAUGAUUAAAGGUAUUCCGGUAGACGAUGGGGAUGCGUUCCAUUAGAUAGUAGGCGGGGUAACGGCCCACCUAGUCUUCGAUGGAUAGGGGUUCUGAGAGGAAGGUCCCCCACAUUGGAACUGAGACACGGUCCAAACUCCUACGGGAGGCAGCAGUGAGGAAUAUUGGUCAAUGGGCGAGAGCCUGAACCAGCCAAGUAGCGUGAAGGAUGACUGCCCUAUGGGUUGUAAACUUCUUUUAUAAAGGAAUAAAGUCGGGUAUGCAUACCCGUUUGCAUGUACUUUAUGAAUAAGGAUCGGCUAACUCCGUGCCAGCAGCCGCGGUAAUACGGAGGAUCCGAGCGUUAUCCGGAUUUAUUGGGUUUAAAGGGAGCGUAGAUGGAUGUUUAAGUCAGUUGUGAAAGUUUGCGGCUCAACCGUAAAAUUGCAGUUGAUACUGGAUAUCUUGAGUGCAGUUGAGGCAGGCGGAAUUCGUGGUGUAGCGGUGAAAUGCUUAGAUAUCACGAAGAACUCCGAUUGCGAAGGCAGCCUGCUAAGCUGCAACUGACAUUGAGGCUCGAAAGUGUGGGUAUCAAACAGGAUUAGAUACCCUGGUAGUCCACACGGUAAACGAUGAAUACUCGCUGUUUGCGAUAUACAGCAAGCGGCCAAGCGAAAGCGUUAAGUAUUCCACCUGGGGAGUACGCCGGCAACGGUGAAACUCAAAGGAAUUGACGGGGGCCCGCACAAGCGGAGGAACAUGUGGUUUAAUUCGAUGAUACGCGAGGAACCUUACCCGGGCUUAAAUUGCAGAUGAAUUACGGUGAAAGCCGUAAGCCGCAAGGCAUCUGUGAAGGUGCUGCAUGGUUGUCGUCAGCUCGUGCCGUGAGGUGUCGGCUUAAGUGCCAUAACGAGCGCAACCCUUGUUGUCAGUUACUAACAGGUUCUGCUGAGGACUCUGACAAGACUGCCAUCGUAAGAUGUGAGGAAGGUGGGGAUGACGUCAAAUCAGCACGGCCCUUACGUCCGGGGCUACACACGUGUUACAAUGGGGGGUACAGAGGGCCGCUACCACGCGAGUGGAUGCCAAUCCCAAAAACCUCUCUCAGUUCGGACUGGAGUCUGCAACCCGACUCCACGAAGCUGGAUUCGCUAGUAAUCGCGCAUCAGCCACGGCGCGGUGAAUACGUUCCCGGGCCUUGUACACACCGCCCGUCAAGCCAUGGGAGCCGGGGGUACCUGAAGUGCGUAACCGCGAGGAGCGCCCUAGGGUAAAACUGGUGACUGGGGCUAAGUCGUAACAAGGUAGCC
rnacentral:rRNA from 1 species